rnacentral:misc_RNA from 1 species
CAGGACUCGCGAGACUCCUACAACCCUGUGAACUUAACUAUAAGCACGUUGCUUCGGCGGGUGUCUCGGCGAGGGUCCUCCCUCCCCGGGGCGCUAAGCCCGCCGGCAGCCUACUAUACUCUGUCUCUUUGCGUUGGCAUCUCGAGUACAAUCAAACAAGUUA